GACGAACGCUGGCGGCGUGGAUUAGGCAUGCAAGUUGAGCGACAGACAAGGGCUUGCCUUUGUUAUGGAGCAGCGAACGGGUGAGUAACACGUGAACGACCUGUCCUCACGUUCCGAAUAAUUGGGAGAAAUCCCUUGUAAUGCGGGCGAGGAACUUUUGGAGGCAUCUUCAGAAGCGGGAACGCGCAAGCGGCGCGAGGAGGGGUUCGCGGCCUAUCAGUUUGUUGGUGGGGUAACGGCCUACCAAGACGACGACGGGUAGCUGGUCUGAGAGGAUGGUCAGCCACAUUGGAACUGAGAUACUGUCCAGACUCCUACGGGAGGCUGCAGUCGAGAAUCUUGGGCAAUGCACGAAAGUGUGACCCAGCGACGCCGCGUGAAGGAUGAAGGCCCUCUGGGUCGUAAACUUCUUUUAUGGGGAAAGAAAAGCUCGCAAGAGCCUUGACGGUACCCCAUGAAUAAGCCACGGCUAACUACGUGCCAGCAGCCGCGGUAAUACGUAGGUGGCAAGCGUUGUCCGGAUUUACUGGGCGUAAAGCGAACGCAGGCGGAUACUUAAGUAGAGAGUGAAAGGCGGGAGCUCAACUCCUGGACUGCUCCCUAUACUGGGUGUCUUGAGUGGCGGAGAGGAAGAUGGAACAAAUCGUGUAGCGGUGAAAUGCGUAGAUAUGAUUUGGAACACCAAUGGCGAAAGCAAUCUUCUGGACGCAAACUGACGCUGAGGUUCGAAAGCCAUGGUAGCGAACAGGAUUAGAUACCCUGGUAGUCAUGGCCAUAAACGAUGUUCACUAGGUGUCGGGGCUUCGCCUCGGUGCCGCAGCUAACGCAUUAAGUGAACCGCCUGGGAACUACGGCCGCAAGGUUGAAACUCAAAGGAAUUGGCGGGGGCCCGCACAAGCGGUGGAGCAUAUGGCUUAAUUCGAUGCAACGCGAAGAACCUUACCAAGGUUUGACAUGGAUCUGCAAGCGUUAGAAAUAUCGUCGCCUUCGAGGGUGAUCCACAGGUGGUGCAUGGCUGUCGUCAGCUCGUGUUGUGAAAUGUUGGGUUAAGUCCCGCAACGAGCGCAACCCUCAUGUUCUGUUGCCAGCGGGUAAUGCCGGGAACUCGGAACAAACUGCCUCUGUAAAGAGGAGGAAGGUGGGGAUGACGUCAAGUCAUCAUGCCCCUUACAUCUUGGGCUGCACAUAUGCUACAAUGGCCGGUACAAAGAGUCGCUAACCCGCGAGGGUGUGCUAAUCUCAAAAAGCCGGUCUCAGUUCGGAUUGGAGUCUGCAACUCGACUCCAUGAAGUUGGAAUCGCUAGUAACCGCAGGUCAGCAAUACUGCGGUGAAUACGUUCCCGGGCCU
rnacentral:rRNA from 1 species